rnacentral:rRNA from 1 species
CUACGGAGGGUGCAAGCGUUAUUCGGAAUCACUGGGCGUAAAGGACGCGUAGGCGGGUUGGCAAGUCAGAUGUGAAAUCCUACAGCUUAACUGUAGAACUGCAUUUGAAACUGCUAACCUAGAGUAUGGGAGGGGGAGAUGGAAUUAGUGGUGUAGGGGUAAAAUCCGUAGAUAUCACUAGGAAUACCGAAAGCGAUGGCGAUCUCCUGGAACAUAACUGACGCUAAGGCGUGAAAGCGUGGGGAGCAAACAGGAUUAGAAACCCCAGUAGUCC